rnacentral:rRNA from 1 species
CGGUGUUUAACUGGCGUGAUGUGGGACGUCCUACCGGUGGGCUUAGCCUCGCGAGGGGCGGCCCAACUAAUAUCCCGUCGCGGUGCUCUUUACUGAGUGUCGAGUCGGGCCGGUACGUUUACUUUGAACAAAUUAGAGUGCUUAAAGCAGGCUAUCCUCGCCUGAAUACUGCGUGCAUGGAAUAAUGGAAUAGGACCUCGGUUCUAUUUUGUUGGUUUUCGGAACCCCGAGGUAAUGAUUAAUAGGGACAGAUGGGGGCAUUCGUAUUGCGACGUUAGAGGUGAAAUUCUUGGAUCGUCGCAAGACGGACAGAAGCGAAAGCAUUUGCCAAAAAUGUUUUCAUUAAUCAAGAACGAAAGUUAGAGGUUCGAAGGCGAUCAGAUACCGCCCUAGUUCUAACCAUAAACGAUGCCAGCUAGCGAUCCGCCGAAGUUCCUCCCGAUGACUCGGCGGGCAGCUUCCGGGAAACCAAAGCUUUUGGGUUCCGGGGGAAGUAUGGUUGCAAAGCUGAAACUUAAAGGAAUUGACGGAAGGGCACCACCAGGAGUGGAGCCUGCGGCUUAAUUUGACUCAACACGGGAAACCUCACCAGGCCCAGACACCGGAAGGAUUGACAGAUUGAUAGCUCUUUCUUGAUUCGGUGGGUGGUGGUGCAUGGCCGUUCUUAGUUGGUGGAGCGAUUUGUCUGGUUAAUUCCGAUAACGAACGAGACUCUAGCCUGCUAAAUAGGCGUACCUUAUGGUAUCGCGAAGGCCCCCGGCUUCGGCCGGUGGGUUUUUACUACCAACGUACAAACAAAUCUUCUUAGAGGGACAGGCGG